ACCACCCUUUUCUUGGGGUAGCGCUACUGUCCAGUGCAUGAAGAGUGAGGGCAGUACUGCUAAUACAUACAAAACAUGCCCACAUCAACUAGAGCUUUGCUUUACUUUGGUGCAAUUUUUGGAAAA
rnacentral:ncRNA from 1 species